rnacentral:rRNA from 1 species
AAGUAGUUUAAGUUGUGUGCAAGUGGUAGGAGAGCGUUCUAUUUGCGUCGAAGGUAUACCGGUAAGGAGUGCUGGAGCGAAUAGAAGUGAGCAUGCAGGCAUGAGUAGCGAUAAUUAAUGUGAGAAUCAUUAACGCCGUAAACCCAAGGUUUCCUACGCGAUGCUCGUCAUCGUAGGGUUAGUCGGGUCCUAAGUCGAGUCCGAAAGGGGUAGACGAUGGCAAAUUGGUUAAUAUUCCAAUACCAACAUUAGUGUGCGAUGGAAGGACGCUUAGGGCUAAGGGGGCUAGCGGAUGGAAGUGCUAGUCUAAGGUCGUAGGAGGUUAUACAGGCAAAUCCGUAUAACAAUACUCCGAGAACUGAAAGGCUUUUUGAAGUCUUCGGAUGGAUAGAAGAACCCCUGAUGCCGUCGAGCCAAGAAAAGUUUCUAAGUUUAGCUAAUGUUGCCCGUACCGUAAACCGACACAGGUGGGUGGGAUGAGUAUUCUAAGGCGCGUGGAAGAACUCUCUUUAAGGAACUCUGCAAAAUAGCACCGUAUCUUCGGUAUAAGGUGUGGUUAGCUUCGUACUAGGAUUUACUCCGAAAGCGAAGAAACUUACAACAAAGAGUCCCUCCCGACUGUUUACCAAAAACACAGCAC